UACGUAGGGUGCAAGCGUUAUCCGGAUUCACUGGGUUUAAAGGGUGCGUAGGUGGGCAAGUAAGUCAGUGGUGAAGUCUCCGGGCUUAACCCGGAAACUGCCAUUGAUACUAUUUGUCUUGAAUACUGUGGAGGUCAGCGGAAUAUGUCAUGUAGCGGUGAAAUGCUUAGAUAUGACAUAGAACACCAAUUGCGAAGGCAGCUGGCUGGAACGGUACUGACGCUGAGGCGCGAAAGCGUGGGGAGCGAACAGG
rnacentral:rRNA from 1 species